GUAGGGUGCAAGCGUUAUCCGGAAUCAUUGGGCGUAAAGAGCUCGUAGGCGGUUCAGCAAGUCGGCUGUGAAAUCCCGAGGCUUAACCUCGGAACUGCAGUCGAUACUGCUGUGACUAGAGUCCGGUAGAGGAGAAUGGAAUUCCCGGUGUAGCGGUGAAAUGCGCAGAUAUCGGGAGGAACACCAGUAGCGAAGGCGGUUCUCUGGGCCGGUACUGACGCUGAGGAGCGAAAGCGUGGGGUAGCAAACAGGAUUAGAUACCCUGGUAGUCCACGCCGUAAACGUUGGACACUAGGUGUGGCGUUCCGACCAACGGGUGCCGUGUCGAAGCUAACGCAUUAAGUGUCCCCGCCUGGGGAGUACGGCCGCAAGGCUA
rnacentral:rRNA from 1 species